rnacentral:lncRNA from 1 species
CUGGGGACAAAGGGGAAGGGAAAGCCCUCUGUGCAGGAAGGGCAAGCUGGUGUCUGGGGGAGGUGAGUGCUGGAGAGACCCUCAGCCCUUGACACGAUGUGUCCCCAUCCCUUGGCAGGUCAAGCAGGCUGUCCUCAGGGCGAUGGGUGCCAUGAUGGGUGUCUUCCUGCAUGUGGAGGAGCACCGCGAGCACACCUGGGAGCAGCUCCUUUGGCUAUCAAGUUGGGAGAGGACUGUGGAGGGGCUGAUGCCUUUGGGUGUACAAUGUCCUUAGGCAAGCAGUGCCUUAGAGGGAGAAAGCCAAGGCUCCAGUGGGCUGCAAGGCGUCCAAGAAGUCCAGGACGCCUUCAGGGUGACUAUGCCCGAAUUUGCCCAGAAGAGACAGUUGUGUUCCUCCAGCCUGAGCUGAGCAGUGGGUGUGAGGCCAGUUGCGUGGCAGCUGUGGAUCUGCUGCAAGCUCUGGUCCGCUCUGAAGGAGGCGAUUCAGGAGGAGCCCCAGGAGUCCCUGUUGUGCCCCCAGGCCAUCAUGGUCAUGGAGCAGUUGAGGUAGGGUCUGUCCCCGGGCUGUGGGAGUCGCUGCGUGUCCCAGCCCAGCUGGCUGGUGUGGCUGGGGCUGCGGGUGUUGGAUUUGGGGCUGUCGAUUGGGACAAAGCCAGUCGUCCUUUGACUCGCUCUGGAGAGUGCUAGUAAGCCCCCUUUCUGUUUUCUCUCCUUUUUUUCUCCUGGCAGCAAGCUGCAGCCCCAUCUGAGCAGGGAGGAAAACUGCAGCCUCCUGGCUCAGUGCUGCCAGGGCAUCGUGUGCCUUCGUCACCUGGAGCAGAUGGAAGAGGAAGGGGAGGUGGCGGCAGCUCCUGCAUGCGCAUGAGUACCCGCUGACCCUUCUCAGCUGCCCCUCGGUGGGGGCCCAGCCAUGGGCGCCCCAUGCUCUGGCAGCCACUGGCCACGCUGGUGUCUCCGUGGGGUGCCCAGCCUCAGUCCCCCUUUCUGGUGUCAGGAUGUGCAUGCGCUGUCCCUGCAAGUGCUGGGCCAGCUCAUGGCAGCCCUUCUCCAGACAGAGCUGGCCCCUGCCUGCUUUGAGGAUGUGGUGCAGGUGAGUGUCCCUGGGGUGGCAGGGAAAGCAUUGCCGCUGCCAGAGUGGGGCAGAGCUGUGGGGGAUCCCGCCUGCAGGGCUGGUCCGAGGAGGGGAGCUUGCCUGUAACUAGGUGCAACACCCCAAAUUGGCAGAGAGUGAAAUGGUCCUGGUUUCAGGCCCCCUUGCCCAAAUUUUGCAUCCAAGCUUUUCCCAUCGGCAGCAGCUUCCUUGCAGGCAGCUUGCAGUGUCCUGCAGAGUCCCCUAGAUGAGCUAGAGCUUCUCCCCAG